rnacentral:rRNA from 1 species
CCCUUAGAUGUUCUGGGCCGCACGCGCGUUACACUGAUUCAUGCAACAAGUUUUGUCCUUGGCUGAUAGGCCUGGGUAAUCUUUGAACGUGAAUCGUGAUGGGGAUAGAUGAUUGCAAUUAUUCAUCUUCAACGAGGAAUUCCUAGUAAACGCAAGUCAUCAGCUUGCAUUGAUUACGUCCCUGCCCUUUGUACACACCGCCCGUCGCACCUACCGAUUGAAUGGUCCGGUGAAAUCUUCGGAUCUGAGAGAUGUCUGAUUAAUUUCGGACGCCUUUUGGAAAAGUUGCUUAAACCUUACCAUUUAGAGGAAGGUGAAGUCGUAACA